rnacentral:rRNA from 1 species
UAAAGGGCCGCGGUAUAUUGACCGUGCGAAGGUAGCAUAAUCAUUAGUUUUUUAAUUAAAGGCUAGAAUGAAUGGUUGGACAAAAGAUAGUCUGUCUCUGUGUUAUAUUUAAAAUUUGAUUUUUAAGUGAAAAAGCUUAAAUAAAAUAAAGUGACGAUAAGACCCUAUAAAGUUUUACAUUUAAUUAUGAAUAAUAUAAAAAUUAAUUAUAAAUAUAAUAUAAAAUAAAUGUUAUGUUGGGGCGACAAAAAUAUAAAAUUUAACUGUUUAUAUAUUAUAUCUAAGAUAUUAGGAUUUAAUAAAUAAUUGAUCCUUAUUUAAAGAUUAAAAGAUAAAAUUACUUUAGGGAUAACAGCGUAAUUUUUUUUGAGAGUUCAUAUCGACAAAAAUAGUUGCGACCUCGAUGUUGAAUUAAAAUUUCUUUGUGGUGUAGUUGUUACAUAA